UACGUAGGGAGCAAGCGUUGUCCGGAAUCAUUGGGCGUAAAGCGCGCGUAGGUGGCCUCAUAAGUCCGCUGUGAAAGUCAAAGGCUCAACCUUUGAAAGCCGGUGGAUACUGUGAGGCUAGAGUACGGAAGAGGCGAGUGGAAUUCCUGGUGUAGCGGUGGAAUGCGUAGAUAUCAAGAGGAACACCAGUGGCGAAGGCGGCUCUCUGGAACAAUCCUGACGCUGAGGAGCGAAAGUGUGGGGAGCGAACAGG
rnacentral:rRNA from 1 species